UACGUAGGCAGCAAGCGUUGUUCGGAGUUACUGGGCGUAAAGGGUGCGUAGGCGGCUUUUUAAGUUUGGUGUGAAAUCUCCCGGCUCAACUGGGAGGGUGCGCCGAAUACUGAGAGGCUAGAGUGUGGGAGAGGAAAGUGGAAUUCCUGGUGUAGCGGUGAAUGCGUAGAUAUCAGGAGGAACACCGGUGGUGUAAACGGCUUUCUGGACCAUAACUGACGCUGAUGCACGAAAGCGUGGGUAGCAAACAGG
rnacentral:rRNA from 1 species